AAAUAAGAACAUAAAGUUGGUUGGCAAAAAAAGAGAAGACAUCAAGUUGCGAGUCUUGUGACGUUUGAGUAAGAAAGGGACAAAUCAAUUUUAUACAAUCUGUAUCAUCAUAUUAUUAUGGGUGUGUUGGCAAAUUAGUCACUUUUGAAAACAUAAUUAUGGAGUUGGGCAAGUUACUAUUUAUAAUUGGCAAAACAGGUAACUCACUUUGGGCGUGUAAUAGACGAGCGUGAAAUAGAGGUUUGGGGUGGGGUAAGUGAUGUGUUUUGAAAUUACCGAACUAUCCUUUUGACAAAGAAGAAAGAUAAAAGUGAAAUAUUCUUUU
rnacentral:sRNA from 1 species